GGAUCCCGGAGACGCGCCAUUGUUACUUCGGGACACCUGGGGGCCGCGUAAGGACAGGAAAUUUUUGUUUUUCAAAUAGAAUUGACGAAUAAAAGCAAAUAACUACUUCUUUUGUGAAGUCUUGGAAAAUGCUACCUAAAAUGGAGUCCCCGUGGUCAGAGAGACACAUUCGAGGAACCUAAGAUCAUCAAGAGGCUGCGGCUGAGCUGUGGCCUAGCCACUUGCCGCUGUGACCCCCACUGACCAAUCAGCUGUGGACUCCUGGACUUUGUUGAUCGCCUGCACCAACCAGCCCGGCUUUGCCUUCUUUGACUCAAGCCCUUUGUUCUCUUUCCCACACACACUGUUAGUUUUAUUCGAAUCUUUGUAUUCCGAAUUGCAGCUUCUAAGACCCUAAAGAAAGCUGUCUUGGUUUUUUUCAGCCUCGAUAUUGAUAACUGGUUAUUCUUGUAGCAUUUUCUAAGGUUAUUAAAACAUGUUCUGCAGGUAGCUAGCUUGUAAAGCUAAGCGGGACAACGUCAUGGUCAUCAGCGGUCACACAGUGCCCUCUGGUGGCUCCGUGAGAAAACGACACGCAGGCUCCAGGACACCAUGGUAAACUGACAUUGAAAUAAUGCUAUUAGGUCAAAGUCCUCUAAUAUUCAGCGUUUUGGGAGUGCCUUAUCGAGGAAGUCCCUGUUGAGGACUUCAGGUAGAGAUGCAACAGGAGGUGGGAUUCGGUUUGUGGUGUCUGUAAGACAGCAAUCCAGAGGUGUGUAAACCCCUAGCCCUGAGCCUGACUGCUGAGGGUGGAGACGCAGAACUGCCACCCCCAGACCCGCAGUGAGCACCUGCCACAGCCCCCAGCCUCCCGGGGAAGCUGGGUCCAGCCCCACCUUCAUUGUUCUAUUCACUCAGCUCCCACACUGCUGGCCUGGCCACCAGGGGCCCCACUGCUGAACACAAACACACUUACCACGCUAUGCUGUUCUUCUCCACAAUGCAAUUUUUUUUUUCCCUCUGUACCGGAGAUUGAGCUCAGGACCUUGUAUUCGAGAGACAAGCGCGGUGCCACUGAGCUAAAUCCCUGGCCCUUCCACAAUGUUACCUCAAUAAAUUUUGGAAUUUGAAAUGGACAAAGUAUUUGAAAGAAGAACAAAAAGAAAGGAUUACAGUAAUGAUUGGACUGCCCUGCAUGGGUGUGGCUGUUACAAACAGCACACGUGAAACCACUCUCUGGAGUUAAGGCUUUUUGUGAGGAAAAGAAAAGUUUAUCCUAGAGACUAAAAUCAGUGGCUAAAAUUAGGGAUAGAUUUUUAGCAGCUAUCUGGGAAAAGCUAAGUUUAUUACAUCCAUUUAUUACAGGAUGGGCUGACAUUGGGAGAGCAGCUAGCUGGGAGAGAUUUCAUCCAGGAGUGGAUGGGCUAACAUCAGGAGAGAGACAUUAACAGCUAACUGGGAAAGGAUUAGGCUUAUGUAGGUAUUGAAGGGGCUGAGGAAUCCGGGGUGGAAUGUUUAUGAUUGAGCCUAAGGACAGUCAGCACAGGUGGUAGACAGUCACUGGACUUUGGCGCUGGGGCGACUGUCCUCAGUUUACUGAGAAAUAGCCUGGCAUUUGCUGAGAGUGGCCUCUUUGCUUGUGAAGACCUCACUUGAGUCAGGUGUGACAGUGGCCAGCUGACUGCCUUCUCUCUGGUGGGCUGUGAGUUCCUGUGGAGUGUGACACUGAGAUAUGGCUGUGCCUGCUUCUUGGUCCUUUCCUCUUUCAAGUCUGAGAAAAUGGAAGAAUUUAUUCUCAAUAGAAGAACCUCUGUUAUCACAUUAUGGAGGAACCAGCCUGUCAAUCAGAGGUCUUGGCUUGGACUGUCGUGUGAGUGACAGAAGCACAGGCUUCUAGUAUUUAAGCCACUGAAAUUCUGGGCCUGUUGGCUUCAGCAGUUAGCAUCAGUAUAGCUGAUGCAGAUACUGGGCUGGAAGAUACGGAAAGUCAAUGACAUAUAUUCCGUGAAUGAUUUCACUGAAUAAACCUUGUCAGCUAGCUGUGGCUGAGAUAACUAGUAUUCCUCCAUUCUCCGUUGUCUUCCUUUUUCAUAGUAAAUUCUAAUUUCUUGCUAAGUGACUAAUUCUAGUCAAUACAAUGUGAAGAGAAGCAUCAUUCCAACUAAUGGGAACCUGCCUUAAAAACAGAUGCUCUGUGCAAUGUGCCCUUUUCCUGGCUCUUUUCUCCAUUCUUUCUGAAAUGCAGAUAUGACCUUAUUGUCAGUUGCUUCCCAGAAAAUCAUCUGAGGUCUGUUUUCCCUCGCUUCUAUUGCUUGGCAUAGCCCCUGAACUCAAGAUCUUUCUCCUUGUGCUGUCUACCCUUUAAAGCCUCUCUUGAGAUAAUACGAA
ensembl:lncRNA